rnacentral:rRNA from 1 species
UACGAAGGGGGCUAGCGUUGUUCGGAAUUACUGGGCGUAAAGGGUGCGCAGGUGGCGGCGCGCGUGGGGGGUGAAAUCGCCCGGCUUAACUGGGCGGGGGCCUCCAGACGGCGUGGCUUGAGCAGCGGAGGGGGACGUGGAAUUCCGGGUGGACGCGGUGAAAUGCGUAGAGAUCCGGAGGAACACCGACGGCGCGAGGCGCGUCCUGGCC